rnacentral:tRNA from 21 species
GCGGGUGUAGCUCAAUGGUAGAGCAACAGCCUUCCAAGCUGAUGACGGGGGUUCGAUUCCCCUCACCCGCUCCA